CCUACGGGAGGCAGCAGUGGGGAAUAUUGGACAAUGGGCGAAAGCCUGAUCCAGCAAUGCCGCGUGAGUGAUGAAGGCCUUAGGGUCGUAAAGCUCUUUUACCCGGGAUGAUAAUGACAGUACCGGGAGAAUAAGCCCCGGCUAACUCCGUGCCAGCAGCCGCGGUAAUACGGAGGGGGCUAGCGUUGUUCGGAAUUACUGGGCGUAAAGCGUGCGUAGGCGGUUAUUCAAGUCAGAGGUGAAAGCCCGGGGCUCAACCCCGGAACGGCCUUUGAAACUAGGUAGCUAGAAUCUUGGAGAGGUCAGUGGAAUUCCGAGUGUAGAGGUGAAAUUCGUAGAUAUUCGGAAGAACACCAGUGGCGAAGGCGACUGACUGGACAAGUAUUGACGCUGAGGCACGAAAGCGUGGGGAGCAAACAGGAUUAGAUACCCUGGUAGUCCACGCCGUAAACGAUGAUAACUAGCUGUUCGGGUACUUGGUAUCUGAGUGGCGCAGCUACGACAUUAAGUUAAUUCCGUCCGUCGGGUAGGUACGGUCGGUCGAAGAAGUUAAAACUUAAAACUUAAGUAAGUUAGUACGGACGUGAGACGUGCCGAACGGACGACGACGAGGGAGGUAGG
rnacentral:rRNA from 1 species